CAAGUGUGAAGGAGUGGUUUUACUCAAGCAGUGGGAACAAGGAAACACUUGGUUAGGUAAAACCAGAAA
rnacentral:sRNA from 22 species